CCGGGGCUGGCGGGGCUGGCCGCGGUGCUCCUGGGUGCGCGGGGCUGCCUCCGGCAGGGCCGCACUGCGGGGGCUGCGGGAGGCCGGGGCCGCGAACGCUCGCCUCUGGAUUCUUUCCUACCUCGUGCACAUCUUUCCUUCUGCAUGAAAUUCCUGUGGGAGAAAAUGGAUUUCCUGAGUUUGCUGCUUGUUUUCUUCUCGGCAGUGACUGUGAGCAGAGCCCAGGUGCAGCAGGAACCAUCGGCAGAGACCAGCGAGGGCAUCGGCAUCAACAUCACCUGCUCACACCCCAAUGUACAGCCCGGCUAUUACAUCCACUGGUACCGUCAGCUCCCGGGCCGAGGACCCACAUUCCUCGUCAGCGCCGUUAGUGGCUCCAAACAGGUGCCGGACCCGGAGGGGCAGCUGUGGGUGUCGGCAGACCGCCGCUCCAGCGCCCUGUGUCUCACCCGGCCCCGGCUCGGCGACGCGGCGGUGUAUUACUGCGCCGUGGACCCACGGGAAUCGAAGCCGGGGCUGCGGCCGGGCACGAACCGCUUAGGGCGGGUCGGGGGCACAGUGCCGUCCGUGCCCGCAGGGGGCGCUGCCUGCAUGGCCGCCAAACUCCAUCCUGACCAGGGUGCACCUCCCUGAGUUCUCGACGAAAUGAGCACUGCACCCGCAGCAGUGAUUCACUAAGCCCAAAUUGAGUCAGAUGCAGCUGGGUCUCUGGCAGGACAGCUCGCCAUGUAUUUGUGGGGAACAGCGGGACUGACAGCAUGGGCUGUGUUUGACACCUGAGGGACACAAUUCUACAAUUCUAUUACAUCUUCUAUCCUCUCCUCCUUUCCCAGCGCAGCACAUAUGAGAAGCAGGAAGCAGAGGGGACUAAAACCAGAACAUCAGCAAUGUGCUAAGUGAGAAAACAAAUUUAGGAAAUACUGUAGUGGAAUGCAAGGUUAACACAAUAUAAUACAUUAUGAUUGGAAUGGAACGAAUGAGUCAAAUAAAUGAAAGAAAAAGAGUGUCCAAAAACCAAAGAUCUUACUUUAAUGCUGUAGGGGAGUUGACUGGAGUGCACACACCAUGGAGAUGAUCAGAAAUACAACAUCCCAGGACUCCCAAGCUGUUUUAUCUUUCCCUCUGAAUGGAUAACAGAUACUCUCCUUAAACACCCAUCUUAUACCAACCAGUAGCAGAGCCAUUCUCCCUUGGCUGCUCUGGAGAAUAUACAUGAUAGAAAGAAAAAUCAAAAGCUGAAAUGAGAUGAAGAAUUGUUUAGUGAAUGUUUAGAGAGGAAAACGAGGUCACCCUGAGCAGAGGCUCCAGAGUACAGGAUUCAUCCAGUCCCUUGUUGGAGCUUAUGCAGGGCUAGUGUCUUCCUUGUAGCAGGGAAUGCACUGGUUCUGAGGAGCCUCAUUGCCCAUAGGAGGAGAAGGAAAAAAAAGAGGGGGUGAGAGGGGAGAGAGUGGGAAGAAAAUGGAGAUAGAGGAAAAGAAAAAGAGACACGAGCUAUGUUUCAG